CGGUGAUGUCUCCUAGCCGUUAUCUAAGGAGGCACUCGGUCAUGCUGUGGGUUAUAAAAAGACCUUAGACGCUCUGGUCGUCGAGAGUAUGAUGUGAGGAGGGGUUAAAUGCCCU
rfam:Bacillus subterraneus strain MITOT1 contig_132, whole genome shotgun sequence.